rnacentral:rRNA from 1 species
GACGAACGCUGGCGGCGUGCCUAAUACAUGCAAGUAGAACGCUGAAGGAGGAGCUUGCUUCUCUGGAUGAGUUGCAAACGGGUGAGUAACGCGUAGGUAACCUGCCUGGUAGCGGGGGAUAACUAUUGGAAACGAUAGCUAAUACCGCAUAAGAGUAGAUGUUGCAUGACAUUUGCUUAAAAGGUGCAAUUGCAUCACUACCAGAUGGACCUGCGUUGUAUUAGCUAGUUGGUGGGGUAACGGCUCACCAAGGCGACGAUACAUAGCCGACCUGAGAGGGUGAUCGGCCACACUGGGACUGAGACACGGCCCAGACUCCUACGGGAGGCAGCAGUAGGGAAUCUUCGGCAAUGGACGGAAGUCUGACCGAGCAACGCCGCGUGAGUGAAGAAGGUUUUCGGAUCGUAAAGCUCUGUUGUAAGAGAAGAACGAGUGUGAGAGUGGAAAGUUCACACUGUGACGGUAUCUUACCAGAAAGGGACGGCUAACUACGU